rnacentral:rRNA from 1 species
GGGGAAUAUUGGACAAUGGGCGCAAGCCUGAUCCAGCAACGCCGCGUGGAGGAUGAAGGUCUUCGGAUCGUAAACUCCUGUCCGGUGGGACGAAGGCUGCGAGGUGAACAAUCUCGUGGUUUGACGGUACUACCCGCGGAAGCCCCGGCUAACUCCGUGCCAGCAGCCGCGGUGAUACGGAGGGGGCGAGCGUUAUUCGGAAUUAUUGGGCGUAAAGGGCGCGUAGGCGGCUUUCUAAGUCAAAGGUGAAAUCCCUCGGCUCAACUGAGGAACUGCCUUUGAAACUGGAAGGCUUGAGGGCGGGAGGGGGUAGCGGAAUUCCCAGUGUAGCGGUGAAAUGCGUAGAUAUUGGGAGGAACACCAGUGGCGAAGGCGGCUACCUGGACCGGUUCUGACGCUGAUGCGCGAAAGCGUGGGUAGCAAAC